rnacentral:rRNA from 1 species
UGGAGGCGUGCUUAACACAUGCAAGUCGCGCGAGAAAGGGGCUUCGGUCCUGAGUAGAGCGGCGCACGGGUGAGUAACGCGUGGGUGAUCUCCCCUGGUGAUCGGGAUAACAGCUGGAAACGGCUGCUAAUACCGGAUAAUCUUCAUGUUCAACUUCAUGGGGUAAAGGUGGCCUCUGCUUGCAAGCUACCACAUCAGGAUGAGCCCGCGUCUCAUUAGCUAGUUGGUGGGGUAACGGCCUACCAAGGCGACGAUGAGUAGCUGGUCUGAGAGGAUGACCAGCCACACUGGGACUGGAACACGGCCCAGACUCCUACGGGAGGCAGCAGUGGGGAAUAUUGCGCAAUGGGCGAAAGCCUGACGCAGCGACGCCUCGUGAGGGAUGAAGGGUUCCUUCGGAUCGUAAACCUCUGUCAAGAGGGAAGAAACCAUUGAAGUCGAACAGGCUUCUUUGCUGACGGUACCUCUGAAGGAAGCAUCGGCUAACUCCGUGCCAGCCGCUGC